GAUGAGCGCUAGCUACAGGCUUCACACAUGCAAGUCGAGGGGUAACGAGAGGAAAGCUUGCUUUCCUUGUCGACGACCGGCGCACGGGUGAGUAACGCGUAUCCAACCUGCCCCCAACUAGGGAAUAACCUUGCGAAAGUAAGACUAAUACCCUAUAAUUUCCUCAGAUGUCAUCUGACGAGGAAUAAAGAUUUAUCGGUUGUGGAUGGGGAUGCGUCUGAUUAGCUUGUUGGCGGGGUAACGGCCCACCAAGGCAACGAUCAGUAGGGGUUCUGAGAGGAAGGUCCCCCACAUUGGAACUGAGACACGGUCCAAACUCCUACGGGAGGCAGCAGUGAGGAAUAUUGGUCAAUGGGCGGAAGCCUGAACCAGCCAAGUAGCGUGCAGGAUGACGGCCCUAUGGGUUGUAAACUGCUUUUAUACAGGAAUAAAGUUAGCCACGUGUGGUUAUUUGUAGGUACUGUAUGAAUAAGGACCGGCUAAUUCCGUGCCAGCCGCCGCUGUAA
rnacentral:rRNA from 1 species